AGUUUGAUCCUGGCCCAGGAUGAACGCUAGCUACAGGCUUAACACAUGCAAGUCGAGGGGAAACGACAUCGAAAGCUUGCUUUUGAUGGGCGUCGACCGGCGCACGGGUGAGUAACGCGUAUCCAACCUGCCCACCACUUGGGGAUAACCUUGCGAAAGUAAGACUAAUACCCAAUGACGUCUCUAGAAGACAUCUGAAGGAGAUUAAAGAUUUAUCGGUGAUGGAUGGGGAUGCGUCUGAUUAGCUUGUUGGCGGGGUAACGGCCCACCAAGGCGACGAUCAGUAGGGGUUCUGAGAGGAAGGUCCCCCACAUUGGAACUGAGACACGGUCCAAACUCCUACGGGAGGCAGCAGUGAGGAAUAUUGGUCAAUGGGCGAGAGCCUGAACCAGCCAAGUAGCGUGCAGGAUGACGGCCCUAUGGGUUGUAAACUGCUUUUAUAAGGGAAUAAAGUGAGUCUCGUGAGACUUUUUGCAUGUACCUUAUGAAUAAGGACCGGCUAAUUCCGUGCCAGCAGCCGCGGUAAUACGGAAGGUCCGGGCGUUAUCCGGAUUUAUUGGGUUUAAAGGGAGCGUAGGCCGGAGAUUAAGCGUGUUGUGAAAUGUAGACGCUCAACGUCUGCACUGCAGCGCGAACUGGUUUCCUUGAGUACGCACAAAAGUGGGCGGAAUUCGUGGUGUAGCGGUGAAAUGCUUAGAUAUCACGAAGAACUCCGAUUGCGAAGGCAGCUCACUGGAGSGCACUGACGCUGAAGCUCGAAAGUGCGGGUAUCGAACAGGAUUAGAUACCCUGGUAGUCCGCACGGUAAACGAUGGAUGCCCGCUGUUGGGCCAACUGGUUCAGCGGUCAAGCGAAAGCAUUAAGCAUCCCACCUGGGGAGUACGCCGGCAACGGUGAAACUCAAAGGAAUUGACGG
rnacentral:rRNA from 1 species